rnacentral:rRNA from 1 species
GACGAACGCUGGCGGCGUGCUUAACACAUGCAAGUCGAACGGAAAGGCCUGCUUUCCCUUGUGGAUUGCGGGUACUCGAGUGGCGAACGGGUGAGUAACACGUGAGUGAUCUGCCCCCAACUUGGGUAUAAGCCUGGGAAACUGGGUCUAAUUCCCGAUAGGACUGCAGGGUGGUGCCUGUGGUGGAAAACGAUUUUCUAGUGGUUGGGGAUGAGCUCGCGGCCUAUCAGCUUGUUGGUGGGGUAAUGGCCUACCAAGGCGGCAACGGGUAGCCGGCCUGAGAGGGUGGACGGCCACAUUGGGACUGAGAUACGGCCCAGACUCCUACGGGAGGCAGCAGUGGGGAAUAUUGCACAAUGGGCGGAAGCCUGAUGCAGCGACGCCGCGUGGGGGAUGACGGCCUUCGGGUUGUAAACUCCUUUCGACCGCGAGGAAGCCACCUGGUUGGAAGGGUGGUGACGGUAGUGGUAGAAGAAGCACCGGCUAACUACGUG